rnacentral:rRNA from 1 species
GACAGAGGAUGCAAGCGUUAUCCGGAAUGAUUGGGCGUAAAGCGUCUGUAGGUGGCUUUUCAAGUCCGCCGUCAAAUCCCAGGGCUCAACCCUGGACAGGCGGUGGAAACUACCAAGCUGGAGUACGGUAGGGGCAGAGGGAAUUUCCGGUGGAGCGGUGAAAUGCGUAGAUAUCGGAAGGAACGCCGGUGGCGAAAGCGGCGUGCUGGACCUCUUCUGACGCUGAGGCGCGAAAGCCAGGGGAGCGAACGGG